rnacentral:rRNA from 1 species
UACGUAGGGGGCAAGCGUUGUCCGGAUUUAUUGGGCGUAAAGAGCGUGUAGGCGGCCUGAAAGGUCAGCUGUGAAAACCGUCGAGGCUUAACCUCGAGACGUCGGUUGAAACCAUCUGGCUAGGAGUCCGGAAGAGGAGUGUGGAAUUCCCGGUGUAGCGGUGAAAUGCGCAGAUAUCGGGAAGAACACCCGUGGCGCAAGGCGGCACUCUGGGACGGUACUGACGCUGAGACGGACGAAAGCGGUGGGGAGCGAACAGG